GACGAACGCUGGCGGCGUGCUUAACACAUGCAAGUUGAACGGUAAGGCCCUUCGGGGUACACGAGUGGCGAACGGGUGAGUAACACGUGGGUGAUCUGCCCUGCACUUCGGGAUAAGCCUGGGCAACUGGGUCUAAUACCGGAUAGGACUCCUGGCUUCAUGGUUGGGGGUGGAAAGCUUUUGCGGUGUGGGAUGGGCCCGCGGCCUAUCAGCUUGUUGGUGGGGUAAUGGCCUACCAAGGCGACGACGGGUAGCCGGCCUGAGAGGGUGACCGGUCACACUGGGACUGAGAUACGGCCCAGACUCCUACGGGAGGCAGCAGUGGGGAAUAUUGCACAAUGGGCGCAAGCCUGAUGCAGCGACGCCGCGUGAGGGAUGACGGUCUUCGGGUUGUAAACCUCUUUCAGCUAUGACGAAGCGCAAGUGACGGUAGUAGCAGAAGAAGGACCGGCCAACUACGUGCCAGCCGCCGCAGUAA
rnacentral:rRNA from 1 species